AGAGUUUGAUCCUGGCUCAGGAUGAACGCUGGCGGCGUGCCUAACACAUGCAAGUCGAACGGAACUUUAACGGAACAAGGCUUCGGCCAAGUGAAAUUAAAGUUUAGUGGCGGACGGGUGAGUAACGCGUGAGUAACCUGCCUUUCACAGGGGGAUAACGUUUGGAAACGAACGCUAAUACCGCAUAACACAGCAGAGUCGCAUGGCUCAGCUAUCAAAGAUUUUAUCGGUGAAAGAUGGACUCGCGUCCGAUUAGGUAGUUGGUGAGGUAACGGCUCACCAAGCCGACGAUCGGUAGCCGGACUGAGAGGUUGAACGGCCACAUUGGGACUGAGACACGGCCCAGACUCCUACGGGAGGCAGCAGUGGGGAAUAUUGCACAAUGGGCGCAAGCCUGAUGCAGCAACGCCGCGUGAGGGAAGACGGUUUUCGGAUUGUAAACCUCUGUCUUUGGUGACGAAGAAGUGACGGUAGCCAAGGAGGAAGCCACGGCUAACUACGUGCCAGCAGCCGCGGUAAUACGUAGGUGGCAAGCGUUAUCCGGAAUUACUGGGUGUAAAGGGAGCGCAGGCGGGAUAGCAAGUCAGCGGUGAAAUGCAUGGGCUUAACUCAUGAGCUGCCGUUGAAACUGUUAUUCUUGAGUGGAGUAGAGGCAGGCGGAAUUCCGAGUGUAGCGGUGAAAUGCGUAGAUAUUCGGAGGAACACCAGUGGCGAAGGCGGCCUGCUGGGCUCUAACUGACGCUGAGGCUCGAAAGUGUGGGGAGCAAACAGGAUUAGAUACCCUGGUAGUCCACACUGUAAACGAUGAU
rnacentral:rRNA from 1 species